GACGAGCCACACAAACGUUAUUCGGAAUUACUGGGCGUAAAGCGUGCGCAGGCGGCGCGUUAAGACAGGUGUGAAAGCCCCGAGCUUAACUUGGGAAUUGCGCUUGUGACUGGCGUGCUGGAGUGUGGCAGAGGGAGGUGGAAUUCCACGUGUAGCAGUGAAAUGCGCAGAUAUCAGGAGGAACACCGAUGGCGAAGGCAGCUCGCUGGGACGGUACUGACGCUGAGGCGCGAAAGCGUGGGGAGCAAACAGG
rnacentral:rRNA from 1 species